GGCCCCGUAGCUCAGCAGGAUAGAGCAGCUGAUUCCUAAUCAGCAGGUCGCAUGUUCGAAUCAUGCCGGGGUCACCA
rnacentral:tRNA from 1 species